AUACGUAGGGGGCGAGCGUUGUCCGGAAUGAUUGGGCGUAAAGGGCGCGUAGGCGGCCCGGUAAGUCUGGAGUGAAAGUCCUGUUUUUAAGAUGGGAAUUGCUUUGGAUACUGUCGGGCUUGAGUGCAGGAGAGGUAAGUGGAAUUCCCAGUGUAGCGGUGAAAUGCGUAGAGAUUGGGAGGAACACCAGUGGCGAAGGCGACUUACAGGACUGUAACUGACGCUGAGGCGCGAAAGCGUGGGGAGCGAACAGGAUUAGAUACCCUGGUAGUCCACACUGUAAACGAUGAAUGCUAGGUGUAGGGUGUAUCGACCCCUUCUGUGCCGCAGUCAACACAAUAAGCAUUCCGCCUGGGGAGUACGGCCGCAAGGUUGAAACUCAAAUGAAUUGACGGGG
rnacentral:rRNA from 1 species